rnacentral:rRNA from 1 species
UACGUAGGGGGCGAGCGUUGUCCGGAGUUACUGGGCGUAAAGCGCUUGUAGGCGGUCCACCAAGUUUGGGGUGGCAGUUGCCGACUUAAUCGGCAAAGUGCCUCAAAGACUGGCGGACUUGAGGGCCACAGAGGGACAUGGAACUCCAGGUGUAGUGGUGAAAUGCGUAGAUAUCUGGAAGAACACCAAAGGCGAAGGCAGUGUCCUGGGUGGUCGCUGACGCUGAGAGGCGAAAGCCAGGGGAGCGAACGGG